GGUGGUGCAUGGCUGUCGUCAGCUCGUGUCGUGAGAUGUUGGGUUAAGUCCCGCAACGAGCGCAACCCUUGUCCCGUGUUGCCAGCAGGCCCUUGUGGUGCUGGGGACUCACGGGAGACCGCCGGGGUCAACUCGGAGGAAGGUGGGGACGACGUCAAGUCAUCAUGCCCCUUAUGUCUUGGGCUGCACACGUGCUACAAUGGCCGGUACAAUGAGCUGCGAUACCGUGAGGUGGAGCGAAUCUCAAAAAGCCGGUCUCAGUUCGGAUUGGGGUCUGCAACUCGACCCCAUGAAGUCGGAGUCGCUAGUAAUCGCAGAUCAGCAUUGCUGCGGUGAAUACGUUCCCGGGCCUUGUACACACCGCCCGUCACGUCACGAAAGUCGGUAACACCCGAAGCCGGUGGCCCAAC
rnacentral:rRNA from 1 species